AUACAGGAGUAUAAAAUGGAUUUUCUUCUUGUUGAAUGAAGUUGAACUUGUUGUUAUGCUUCUGAACUUCUACCCUUUCCCUCAGGACAGGGACAUUUUCCUCUCUGAUUCUUGAUGUGCCGCCGCCACCAUCUCCCGUCGCGGCCGCCGCGACGCUACCCCAUCUUCGACAGCGACCGCCGCCCUGCCCAAGACCCCCCCGGCACCCUGGAUCCCGCCACCGCCCGCAGCCCAGCCGGCGACGCCGCCAUCUCCCUGCACCGGAUCAAUGCCCACAUCUACACUUGUACACUUUUUUCAGUUGACACCGUAGGUAUUUUUUCAGUACACGUUGUCGGGUUUUUUCAGUUCAAUAGAAUCCAAAUAGAAAAAAAUUGCGGCUGGGCGAGGAUUCAUUAGUUCAUGGAGCAAAAAGUUGUACGGUGUUGAUUCAGCUUCUGUACUUUUUCUUGUUUCAGACAUUUGGUACCUCUUGUCAACUAGAUAUGUUAAUACAUGUGCCCAUGUGCCAAAAGAGGUUGAGCUGCCUGUCCAAACUAAGUACAGUUCAUUAACAAAUAGCUUCAGUAGUUUAUCAGUACAUGUCUGUUAGCAAAAUUCAUGUUACAAAUGUUUACGUACUUCCAUUUUACAAUAAAUAGAUGGCAUUUGUUGCUCCAAUUGUGGAGAAAAUGCAGUGAAAAAUAAAUAAAUUGUGCUUUCAAAAAUUCGUUUGCAGAGAAUUAUUGUGUUUAAGUUGUUCUUGUACUGCAAAAACUGUGUCAUGAUUUUUUGCAAAGUAGUUUGUGUGAAAAAGGGGAAAAGAAGACAUGUUUUCUAGUUGCAAGCAUGAUGCUCUUUAGGUGUUUGUUGUUAAUGCAGAAAACAGUUUUUAAUACCGAAGAACAACCUUAGCGAGAAGUUCAUGUUUAGAAAGUUGGUAGGUUUGUAGAUAGAAACUUAACAAAUAUUGUCCAUAUUAGUAUUGAUCGAGUAUCAUGUAUGCAUUAGUCCUAAAUACUUUGUUCAUUGU